rnacentral:rRNA from 1 species
AAACCGCUUAGGGAUUAAACCCGAUGAACCUGAAUAUCUGAAUUGAGAAAUUCAAUAUUAUUUUUAUUAUUAUUUUAAACAUAAUAUAAAAAUGGUAUGCACUUUUCUCAUAGUAGGACAUUGCGAUCCAUUAGUAUAAUCUUUUUAAGAUAGUUUAUCAAAUGGCCCAUUUAGUCAGUUUAUUCUAUCUGUAAUAAUUUUUAUUAAUUGUUAUAUGAGUAAUGCUAUAUCGGUGACCUGGUAAACAGCUGAUGGAGCUUAACGAUCAUGCAACCAUGUAAAUGUAUCACGGUUUAUAUAUAUUUAUAUAUAUGAAUGCAGUGAUUGCAUGUAUUUGAUCAGCAAUGCGAUAGAUUUGGGAUACCUUCGGGACCCGUCU